CAAUUGAUCUUGUCUGGAAUAAUCUUGUUUUUAUGUAAAAUUUCAAGCUGGUGAUGACAUGUUUAAAAGGAAAAGUGCUGCAAGCUGUAAAUGCUGCUCAGUUUGCAUUCCAUUACAUGAGCAUAUCUAAAUGAUCCUCUUUAGCCCAGGAAUUCAAUACGAUGUUGGAAAACAAGACUUCCACUCUAAUAGAAUGUAAAAAUGAUCAUCUAUUUAAGUCAUUCUGAUUUCUUUUAAUUGCAUCACAAUCCACUGUAAAGAUUUGCUCUGAUCCUAAUAUUUAAAAUUUUCUGCUUUUCUUCUGCUUUUCUCUCCCACAAAUUGGGUGUUUUAUUCUUUUUCCUACUUAUUAAACUUACACCAUUCUAUGUUGAGCACAGAAAGGUGGAAGUAUACAAUCCUGUUCUCUCUUUUCAAUGCUCUGAAUCUUAUUGUUUCCUUUUCUGCAGAAUCAGUUUUUCAUUAUCCUUAUAAGGAGAUGCAUUUCUUUAAUCCUUCCUUAAAAUCAAACUUCUUUACCAAGUCAUUUAUUUUCCUUAUAGAAUGGUGGAUGUGACUGUUGUUAGUGUGUUGAUGGGUCCCUUUACAUCAGCAUUAUAACUUUUAGGUAUUAGCUUACUUCCAUGUGAUUAUUAUUUCUUAUAUCAUUGUGAACAUAUUUUUUCCAGAAAGAGGAUACAUAUUGAUCUAAAAGAAAUUUCCUCUAAAAGAAAA